AUUGAACGCUGGCGGCAGGCCUAACACAUGCAAGUCGAACGCAGUGGGGACGGGUGAGUAACACGUGGGUAACCUGCCCAUCAGAGGGGAUAACACUUGGAAACAGGUGAUAAACCGAUACUGAUGGAUGAACCCGCGGUGCAUUAGCUAGGUGGUGCUGUAACGGCUAACCAAGGCCACGAUGCAUAGCCGACCUGAUAGGGUGAUCGGCCACACUGGGACUGAGACAAGGCCCAGACUCCUCCGGUAGGCAGCAGUAGGGAAUCUUCGGCAAUGGACGAAAGUCUGACCGAGCAACGCCGCGUGAGUGAAGAAUGUUUUCUGAUCGUAAAACUCUGUUGUUAGAGAAGCGGUAUCUAACCAGAAAGCCACGGCUAACUACGUGCCAGCAGCCGCGGUAAUAC
rnacentral:rRNA from 1 species